AUUGAACGCUGGCGGCAUGCUUUACACAUGCAAGUCGAACGGCAGCGCGGGCUUCGGCCUGGCGGCGAGUGGCGAACGGGUGAGUAAUGCAUCGGAACGUGCCCAGUAGUGGGAGAUAGCCCGGCGAAAGCCGGAUUAAUACCGCAUACGACCUGAGGGUGAAAGCGGGGGACCGAAAGGCCUCGCGCUAUUGGAGCGGCCGAUGUCGGAUUAGCUAGUUGGUGGGGUAAAGGCUUACCAAGGCGACGAUCCGUAGCUGGUCUGAGAGGACGACCAGCCACACUGGGACUGAGACACGGCCCAGACUCCUACGGGAGGCAGCAGUGGGGAAUUUUGGACAAUGUGGGCAACCCUGAUCCAGCCAUGCCGCGUGCGGGAAGAAGGCCUUCGGGUUGUAAACCGCUUUUGUUCGGGAAGAAAUCCUCUGGGCUAAUACCCCGGGGGGAUGACGGUACCGGAAGAAUAAGCACCGGCUAACUACGUG
rnacentral:rRNA from 1 species